AUAGAUGACAACUACUUGAAGGAAUUGAAUGAGGACUUAAAGCUAAGGAAGCAGGAACUGCUAGAGAUGCUCAAACCUCUAGAAGAUAAAAACAACCUCUUAUUUCAAAAGUUAAUGUCUAACUUGGAGGAAAAACAAAGGAGUCUUCAGAUCAUGAGACAGAUCAUGGCAGGGAAGGGGUGUGAGGAAUCCUCGGUCAUGGAGCUCCUUAAGGAAGCAGAGGAGAUGAAACAGAACUUGCAUUUCCUUGAGCUCUUCUGAGAAAAACCUGAACGUUGGAUGUACUAUGGGCAUUACAACUAUGGACAGAGUGACUACUGGCAGAAAUGAACACCAUGUGAGAAUUCUGGGAACAAAGAUCUACACAGAACAACAAGGAACUAAAGGAAGUCAGCUUGAUAAUACAGGAGGGAGACUCUUUUUUCUGAGGUCAUUGCCAGAUGAAGCACUGAAGAAUUAGCAGGCUUUCGCUCCAUUUGCUUUGGACAGAUUUAAAGACUAGGCACAGCCAUUUGUGUUAAUUAAAAUCUCUCGCACCUUU
rnacentral:lncRNA from 1 species